AGGAUGAACGCUGGCGGCGUGCCUAACACAUGCAAGUCGAACGUCCUGUCUCGCAAGAGGCAGGGAGUGGCGGACGGGUGAGUACCACGUGGGUCAUCUACCGUGAGGUGAGGAAUACCGGCGAGAAAUCGCCGACAAAACCGCAUAGGCUCGAUGCAAGUCGAGCAAAGCUCGCUCGCAAGAGGGAGCGCCACACGAGGAGCCUGCGCCCGAUUAGCUGGCUGGUGGAGUAAUGGUUCACCAGGGCGACGAUCGGUAGCUGGUCUGAGAGGACGAUCAGCCACACUGGGAUUGAGAACGGCCCAGACUCCUACGGGGGGCAGCAGUGAGGAAUUUUCGUCAAUGGGGGCAACCCUGAACGAGCAACGCCGCGUGCAGGAAGAAGGUUUUCGGAUCGUAAACUGCUUUUCUCGGGGAAGAGAACGGACGGUACCCGAGGAAGAAGCCCCGGCUAACUACGCGCCAGCAGCCGCGGU
rnacentral:rRNA from 1 species